rnacentral:misc_RNA from 1 species
GAUGAAGAACGUAGCGAAAUGCGAUAAGUAAUGUGAAUUGCAGAAUUCAGUGAAUCAUCGAAUCUUUGAACGCACAUUGCGCCCCCUGGUAUUCCGGGGGGCAUGCCUGUUCGAGCGUCAUUUCACCACUCAAGCCUCGCUUGGUAUUGGGCGACGCGGUCCGACGCGCGCCUCAAAUCGACCGGCUGGGUCUUCCGUCCCCUCAGCGUUGUGGAAACUAUUCGCUAAAGGGUGCCGCGGGAGGUCACGCCGCAAAACAACCCCAUUUCUAAGGUUGACCUCGGAUCAGGUAGGGAUACCCGCUGAACUUAAGCAUAUCAAUAAGCGGAGGA